rnacentral:rRNA from 1 species
UACGGGGGGUGCGAGCGUUGUCCGGAAUCACUGGGCGUAAAGGGCGCGUAGGUGGGCAAGUAAGUCAGUGGUGAAAUCUCCGGGCUUAACCCGGAAACUGCCAUUGAUACUAUUUGUCUUGAAUACUGUGGAGGUCAGCGGAAUAUGUCAUGUAGCGGUGAAAUGCUUAGAUAUGACAUAGAACACCAAUUGCGAAGGCAGCUGGCUACACAUAUAUUGACACUGAGGCACGAAAGCGUGGGGAUCAAACAGG